rnacentral:rRNA from 1 species
UAACGACUCUCGGCAACGGAUAUCUCGGCUCUCGCAUCGAUGAAGAACGUAGCGAAAUGCGAUACGUGGUGUGAAUUGCAGGAUCCCGUGAACCAUCGAGUUUUUGAACGCAAGUUGCGCCCGAAGCCAUUAGGCCAAGGGCACGUCUGCCUGGGCGUCACGC